rnacentral:rRNA from 20 species
AAAUUGAAGAGUUUGAUCAUGGCUCAGAUUGAACGCUGGCGGCAGGCCUAACACAUGCAAGUCGAACGGUA